rfam:Reichenbachiella faecimaris strain DSM 26133 genome assembly, contig: Ga0069982_12
GAGGUGAAAUCCGAAAAACCUAAAUAGAGUAGGAG